CGCUCUCGUGACUGCUCUGCUGUCUGGACGCGCCAGCGCCCCGCCAGCUGCGGCCCGGGGCUCAGUCCCCACAGCCGUUUAGCAGGAGGCUUUGCUCUGCCCAAGGGCCACAGGUGCGCGUGACUGUCGUCUAGAGUGUGCAUCCGGCAGCCGAGGGCGCAGAACCGGGACGUCUCGCCCUCGGGGCGACUGCUCGCGCCUUCUUGUCCUUGUCGCGAACACUGCCCCCCCCUCGGGAGGCGCCCCACGACCCGCGCGAUGAGUGCCAAUGAGGACCAGGAGAUGGAACUGGAGGCGUUACGUUCUAUAUAUGAAGGAGACGAGAGUUUCCGGGAAUUAAGUCCAGUUUCAUUCCAGUAUCGGAUAGGUGAAAAUGGUGACCCCAAAGCCUUCUUAAUAGAGAUUUCCUGGACAGACACGUAUCCCCAGACACCUCCCAUCAUUUCUAUGAAUGCUUUUUUUAACAACACCAUAUCCUCAGCCGUGAAGCAGAGCAUCGUGGCCAAGUUGCAGGAGGCCGUGGAGGUGAACCUGGGCACCGCCAUGACCUACACGCUGUUCGAGUAUGCCAAGGACCACCGGGAGCAGUUCAUGGAGCACCACUGCCCCGCCACGUCCACCCAGACAUCCAUAAGCAAUAUCAUCGCAGUUGAAACUCCUAAUACAGCCCCAUCAAGUAAGAAAAAAGACAAAAGAGAACAACUUUCCAAAGCCCAGAAACGGAAGCUGGCAGAUAAAACAGAUCACAAAGGAGAGCGUCCUCGAGGGUGGAACUGGGUUGACGUGGUGAAGGUGCGUGACGUUUCUGUGCUGGCCUUCGAAACUCCUUGUGACUGUCACUGUUGAGUAACGAGUAUUUUAUCUUUCAUUUUCUCCCCUUCAACAUUCGGGUUCCACCGGGAUGUCUGCUUCCUCUUUUGCCCUCAGCACUUGAGCAAAACCGGCUCUAAAGAUGAUGAGUAGCGCUCGGGAAUCGGAACAAGGGAAGAGCGUCCUUCGGAAGUAAACCAGUUCACAGUCAACGGGGUUCACAGUCUUUUGUCACCCAUUUCUGGUAUUGAGGUGGCUUUUUAUAAAACAGCUUUUUUUGUAUGUUUCUUACGUAAAAAUGUUUUAAGCUGAAAGUUCAUGAAGAGAUUUGGUUGUAUUAAAUUAUUUUCACAAACUUGCCUUAAUAAAAGGUGACAUGUUACUCUUCAGUGUGCUUCGGAAACCUUUUCCGCUUUGUCAGUGGACAAAUACAGAGGAUAAUUAAUUGGUGUUAAUUUGUGUGACCUUGUUCUGGUGGAUGUGAUCAUUUUUUUAAAGUACGAAGCCCUUUGCAAGAAUCUCCUGCCCCGGGGGAACAGAACGUGAGUGAACAAUUACUCCGCAGCACAGUCCGUAAUGACAGGCUUCUUGUCCUAAGUGUCCAUCUCUUUUCCCUAAUUACUGAGGCAUCAGUUGCUUCAGAGAAAUUUAGAUACUGGUAUUGGAGCUUUACACAUCAUAUUCUUCAUAGUUCCUUUCUUCAUUUUUCAAGAGUGAGCGGCUUCUCUUUAAUAAGUGAGCACUUGUGUAUACUUUCCCCUUGGUGUGGGUCUCACUGUCUGGUCGUGGCCGCUUUCCAUGGCGCGUGGACGGGGGCACUCGAAAGCACGCCCAGUGGGAACACAAGAGAACACCCGAGCGUGCGCGCUGGUUCCUGCUGGAACCCCCUCUUCGCCGCGGGUGCCACGAUGGGAGGAAAAGAUGCCUUACUGUUUCACUUUUGUAUGGUUGGAGGCAGUGGUUUUAAUCAAUUUGUUUCUCCGCUACUGUGUAUUUUUAGUUGCCUGGUAAUUGAGGUCUUCUAAAUGAUUUGACAUGAACCCACAUUGCAAGUUUUGCUUCAAGUAUUCAAGUGUAUAGCUCAACCCAAGCAUCUUUGUAAUAAUAGACAAAGUAUUUCAAAUGCUCAACUGUGGCACUUGCUGAAUUUUUUUAAAGUCAUCAAUAGAGGAAACGCUCAGUGCCAUUUUACCAGGGAGUCAUUGGCAUCUCCAUGGGAUUCAGAGUGACGCUGUGACAUCCCGGGGGGGCAGUGGGGACGGCUCUUCCUGGGUUCCACCUGUGCAGCUUGGCUGGCUCAGCACGAGUGCGGUGGGGCUCGUGUUCACGGUCUUCACCAGGUCAGCAUUGCCUGCGGUUAAGUCGUUCGAACUACAAAGUCAGUGUAAUUAUGGUGAAGAAGUUCAUUCUCAUUUCUACAAGCUGAGUCGCAUUUUAUUUCUUAAAAUAACAUGAUAGAAACAUUAAAAUCCCAGGCCACUGAAGUACGGUGAUGUUCGUUUGGGGUUGUGUGUGUGGUUUUUGUCCUGUUGAUCCACUUGUUCUUUUUAAAGAAAUAAACCGCUCUGUCUGCUAGUGGGGAAAUGCUUUGUUUUGCUCUGAAGAGUCUGAAGUUGUCCAAGUUUAUCGUGGUUCAUAGCCUACAAAGAAUAUUGCUAGUAAAAUGCCAAUGAACUAUUUUUACUCUUUUUAUAUGAAAUGACAGAUUCCGGGGGUGUUGGUGGCGGCGGGGACUCUGCCUUCUGUGAGUCCCUUGCACGUUCGCUCAUCCAUCUUGCCAUCACUGUUAACACUCCCGAGUGUAUUUUCUCAGGCUCUGUUUACUAACAGUUGUAUGGAAUGACGUAAUUAAUAAGCAAUAAAAUCCGAAUUACA